AAAUGAAAGAAGGAUCUGUCAUGGAAGCUGAAGGAACAGAACAGAGACGGCGUGGUCGCCACGCCUGUAAUCCCAGCACUUUGGGAGGCUGAGGCGGGCCGAUCAUGAGGUCAGAGUUUGAGACCAGUCUGGCCAACAUGGUGAAAUCCCGUCUCUACUAAAGAUACAAAAAAUUAGCUGGCACGUGCCUGUAAUCCCAGCUACUCAGGAGGCUGAGGUAGGAGAAUCGCUUGAACCCGGGAAGCGGAGGUUGCAGUGAGCCGAGAUUGCGUCACUGCACUCCAGCCUGGGUGACAGGGCGAGAAUCCGUCUCAAAAAAGUAAAAAGGACAGAACAGAAACUGAACAGGAACAGAAGCUGAAAAGUCACGAGGCAGAGUGUGACGGUUGGAGCCACCUCAAAAGUCUUAUGCAAGCUGCUAUUUAGAUGAGCAGAAACGACGAGUUAGAGAUGAAGCUGAUAGUUCGCAGAGAAGGGAGUGAAACAGUCCCAAAAUAGACACAAGGUGUGACAAAAAAGAAGAGGGAGAAGACCGUCACUAGAGCUACUUCAUAUUCUGAGAACUUCCCUUUCCAGUUCCAGAGACUUUACCAUUAAACCCCUUUAAUUUACACUGGCCUAUGUCCUUUGCUGUCAGUUCACUGCCUUACCUCUCUAAAACAUGUAGAUAGGAUUCACCCACUUCACAGAUAGAGAAACUGAAACCCAGAAACAUUCAAGAUCACACAGCCAUUGAGUGGCACAACCGAGCCUGGAGUGCAGAGCAUAUAGGAUGCCUGAGCCCUUUCUUUCAUAUCUUCUUUGAAAGGUUGUCCCUCUUUGAUAUGUCCCACUAGUUAGCAUCCUCACCACCAUCCCUUCCAGGGACUUGUUUCUUGGAGGCUGCCACGAAGUUUGUUUUAGCGACAAACCUGUCCUUGACAGAUGACUUUGCCUUGGGAUGCCAUCUCCCCGAUGGAAUUCUUUGAUUCCACCCCUUCCUCAAGCUGAGUUAAUUGCCAAGACUGUGGGGGAAAUUACACCACCUCCUCGGUUCACCCAGCAGGACACCAAUCCUUAACAAGGCAACUUUCUGACAAAGUAUGUUAGAUGCCCUCAGACAAAACUUUCCUAGCAGGGGAUUGGAGAAGGAGAAAAAUUAAAGGCAGAAUAGAAAGUGGUGGGGGAGAGAGAGAGAGAUUUCUUUCCAUUGAUCUCUUUGCCAAUGAGAAGUCUUUAAAAAUCACUUUUUAGCUGUAGCCCUCAGAUGCAUGAGCUGCUAUGCUGACAGAAGAGGGAAAAAAAUCAAACUCUGAAUCAGAUCAAACUGUGAUCUUUCAUUCUGAACAGGCAGCCAUCUUGGCAAAUGGAAAAUUAGAAAUUCAAACAAAAGGAAGAGGGAAUAUCUGAGGUAGAGUUGGCCUUGGGCAAAAAUUGUGAGGUUGGUAAGUCUGACUUCAGAACUCGACAGUGCCCCAUCCUCUCCCUGCUUCCCGCCCUAGGCAGAUUCUACCUUGAGUUAGGUGAGGAAAAGAGAAGCAUGGCUUUGCCUCCCUCCCAGCUUCUCCUCCUAAUUCCUGGUGGACCUUUUUUGACUUGUCUUAUUCAGUCUUGGUGUUAUAUGUCCUAUUACUGUUUUGUACUGACAGCAACUGCCUAGAAGGGGCUAACUGAUAGUUAAAACAGUUAAUUAAAUAAUAAAUGAAAUCUAAGCUGUAGAUAUACCCUCCUCACCAUGGAUAUUUGAGAUUUGAAAGAGAGAGCUUCAGAAGUGCCCAAAUUCUUCAAGGCAUAAAGACUGUUUAAUGGAGGAAUAGCAGAUAGUGCAGUGAUUGAGGGGUGUGGUGGAUGCCACCGCAUGCUGCCAAGACCCCCUGCUUAGAGACGAAAGACUUAUUAUCCUAACUUCUGGAGUACUUUUGGAAAAGUGUCCUCUGCAAUCAGCCCCUUCUUGCUUCAGCUGAAGAGAGCUAUCUCAUCCAAGCUACCUCAUCCAAGGUCAUGCCCCCAUCUCUGGGCAGCCUGCAUCCAACUACUAAUUAACAGAGGGUAUACAGACCCAGCGUUUUUGCUGAGACAACUUCAGUGACAAGUAUGAAGGAUCACCGCAUUUUCAGAACUCCCCAUAACUUUGGCUGAGGUUUCUGUUGAGACUACAUUGCAGCUGAUUUUCUUUUUUCAAUCCUGCUUCCUUCCCUUCCCCCAAGUAUAUGGUCAACCACCCAGAUAUUUCUCAACCUGCCUCCCAGUGAGGUGCCAUGUAACUACAUUCUGGCCAAUGACAUAUCCUUCCACAGAAUUUGGAGCUGUAGCAGGCAGAUCAAGAUAGGAGGUUCCAAGGUCACACAGGAGGAUCUUCUUGUAUCCAAGUUGUGAGGAUGAUAUGGAGGGGCCAUGACACUCAUGGAACACAAACCAUCUAUUUGUCUACCACAAAAUGCACCCAAGUGUCUCAAAGUGCCCUUCUGGUUACAAAAUGAGACACUGCUUCAGGACCUUGGAGAGCGCCCUUCCAGGUUAACACAAGGUCAAUAUCUCCAGGACCUCCCUGAGAUCCACGGGAUGGCAUUUUCUCUUCUUGACAUUAGCCAGAAAAAAACAAAACAAAAAAACAAAAUUAAGCAAACAAUAUGGGCUGGCGUGAGAAAAUAAUUUAUUUCACUUGAAAUAUGGCAAUCUUCCUCAGAGGGAGUUUGGAGGAAAAUGUUUAUAUUUAGCAAGAUUAAGACAAUAAUAAUUCACUAAGUACUUGCUAUAUGCCAGAAAUGUAAGACAUUGUUGUCAUUUUAUGUAUGCAAAAGCAGAGGAUUAAUAAGCUACCAUAUAAUACACUUCCUAAAUGCCAGACACUCUGCUAAGAUAUAUAUACAGAUAUACUCCAUAUCUACAAAUGUAGUGCUACAAUAAAUCUCUUCACCACAAUCCUAUGAUGUUACACUGACAUACUUUGCUAUGUGGAUCUAUUCAGUUCCUGACUUUGAAGAAAAAUGAUUUAGACAGUGAAAGAUACUUAUAUUAUUGGCCCCAUUUUAUGUGAAGAAAUUGAGGCAGGUAGUACAUAGCUCUGAAUAGCAGUAACAGAAUUCAGUUGAGGCAAUCUAGUCAUAACUAAGGUGACUAUUUAAUUUACUGUGCAAAAAUGGCAUUCUUCUAGACAACCCACAGAUUAGGAGAAAAUGUUCGCAAACUAUCCAUCUGACAAGGGAUUAAUAACCAGAAUAUAUAAGGAGCUCAAAUAAUAGCAAAAAAAA
rnacentral:lncRNA from 1 species